AUACUAGCACCUCAAGUUCCGUCCGCCGUCCUUCGUUUGACCAGUCAUUUUCCUCCGUCUUCCACCUUCUCUUCCGGUUGUCCUCCACCCCGACCGGCCCUUUAUCAAGAUCAUUAUUUGACUGGUUUGUGUGGUUCUGGGCAAAGUACUAUUGCUAAGAAGCUUUGUUGA